rnacentral:rRNA from 1 species
AUGGCGGCUCUGCUGAUGCGCAGGCUCGCCGGGACCUACCGCGGCCGCGCGCCGCUGGCCGCCGCCGCCGUUGGCGGGGCCGCGUUCUUCUACGCCUCGUCGAACCCCACCGUCGCGCACAUGGAGGAGAAGGGGGAGGACGCCGCUGCCAAAGUUGCUCUUAACCCUGAGAAAUGGUUAGAAUUCAAGCUCCAGGAGAAGGCAACAGUUAGUCAUGAUUCAGAGCUAUUCAGAUUUUCGUUUGACCCAUCUACUAAGCUGGGCCUGGAUGUUGCCUCAUGUCUCGUAACAAGGGCCCCCAUAGGUCAGGAAGUGGAGGGAAAAAGAAAAUACGUUAUUCGCCCGUACACACCUAUCUCUGACCCAGAUUCUAAAGGAUAUUUCGACCUAUUAAUCAAGGUUUAUCCCGAAGGGAAAAUGUCUCAGCAUUUUGCUAAUUUGAAGCCAGGAGAUGUUCUCGAAGUCAAAGGGCCCAUUGAAAAGCUCAGAUAUAGCCCAAAUAUGAAAAGACAAAUUGGCAUGGUUGCUGGUGGUACUGGCAUAACGCCAAUGCUGCAAGUUGUUAGGGCCAUCCUGAAAAACCCCGAUGACAACACUCAGGUUUCCUUGAUCUACGCCAAUGUGUCACCAGAUGAUAUCUUGCUGAAAAAGGAGUUAGAUAGACUUGCCAGCAGCUAUCCUAAUUUCAAGGUAUUUUAUACAGUCGAUAAACCAUCAAGUGACUGGAGGGGUGGUGCUGGCUACAUAUCAAAGGACAUGGUUUUGAAAGGUUUGCCAGGCCCAGGGGAGGAUUCUCUUAUUCUUGUUUGUGGUCCUCCUGGAAUGAUGAAUCACAUAUCUGGAGAUAAGGCAAAGGAUUAUUCACAGGGCGAGGUCACGGGCCUUCUCAAAGAUUUAGGAUACACGGCAGAUAUGGUAUACAAAUUUUGA